rnacentral:rRNA from 1 species
CGUAGCCACGGUAAUACGGAGGGUGCAAGCGUUAAUCGGAAUUACUGGGCGUAAAGCGCACGCAGGCGGUCUGACAAGUCAGAUGUGAAAUCCCCGGGCUUAACCUGGGAACUGCAUUUGAAACUGUCAGGCUGGAGUCUUGUAGAGGGGGGUAGAAUUCCAGGUGUAGCGGUGAAAUGCGUAGAGAUCUGGAGGAAUACCGGUGGCGAAGGCGGCCCCCUGGACAAAGACUGACGCUCAGGUGCGAAAGCGUGGGGAGCAAACAGGAUUAGAGACCCCCGUAGUUCCUGUCUCUUAUACA